rnacentral:rRNA from 1 species
AGAGUUUGAUCCUGGCUCAGGAUGAACGCUGGCGGCGUGCUUAACACAUGCAAGUCGAGCGAAGCACUUAAGUCUGAUUCUUCGGAUGAAGACUUUUGUGACUGAGCGGCGGACGGGUGAGUAACGCGUGGGUAACCUGCCUCAUACAGGGGGAUAACAGUUAGAAAUGACUGCUAAUACCGCAUAAGACCACGGUACCGCAUGGUACAGUGGUAAAAACUCCGGUGGUAUGAGAUGGACCCGCGUCUGAUUAGGUAGUUGGUGGGGUAACGGCCUACCAAGCCGACGAUCAGUAGCCGACCUGAGAGGGUGACCGGCCACAUUGGGACUGAGACACGGCCCAGACUCCUACGGGAGGCAGCAGUGGGGAAUAUUGCACAAUGGAGGAAACUCUGAUGCAGCGACGCCGCGUGAAGGAUGAAGUAUUUCGGUAUGUAAACUUCUAUCAGCAGGGAAGAAAAUGACGGUACCUGACUAAGAAGCCCCGGCUAACUACGUGCCAGCAGCCGCGGU